CUGGCGGCGUGCCUAACACAUGCAAGUCGAACGGGAAUCUUCGGAUUCUAGUGGCGGACGGGUGAGUAACGCGUAAGAAUCUAACUUCAGGACGGGGACAACAGUUGGAAACGACUGCUAAUACCCGAUAUGCCGCAAGGUGAAACCUAAUUGGCCUGAAGAAGAGCUUGCGUCUGAUUAGCUAGUUGGUGGGGUAAGAGCCUACCAAGGCGACGAUCAGUAGCUGGUCUGAGAGGAUGAGCAGCCACACUGGGACUGAGACACGGCCCAGACUCCUACGGGAGGCAGCAGUGGGGAAUUUUCCGCAAUGGGCGAAAGCCUGACGGAGCAACGCCGCGUGAGGGAGGAAGGUCUUUGGAUUGUAAACCUCUUUUCUCAAGGAAGAAGUUCUGACGGUACUUGAGGAAUCAGCCUCGGCUAACUCCGUGCCAGCAGCCGCGGUAAUACGGGGGAGGCAAGCGUUAUCCGGAAUUAUUGGGCGUAAAGCGUCCGCAGGUGGUCAGCCAAGUCUGCCGUCAAAUCAGGUUGCUUAACGACCUAAAGGCGGUGGAAACUGGCAGACUAGAGAGCAGUAGGGGUAGCAGGAAUUCCCAGUGUAGCGGUGAAAUGCGUAGAGAUUGGGAAGAACAUCGGUGGCGAAAGCGUGCUACUGGGCUGUAUCUGACACUCAGGGACGAAAGCUAGGGGAGCGAAAGGGAUUAGAUACCCCUGUAGUCCUAGCCGUAAACGAUGGAUACUAGGCGUGGCUUGUAUCGACCCGAGCCGUGCCGAAGCUAACGCGUUAAGUAUC
rnacentral:rRNA from 1 species